UACGUAGGGACCAAGCGUUGUUCGGAUUUACUGGGCGUAAAGGGCGCGUAGGCGGCAAUUCAAGUCAUCUGUGAAAUCUCCGGGCUUAACCCGGAACGGUCAGGUGAUACUGCUUUGCUAGAGUGCAGAAGGGGCAAUCGGAAUUCUUGGUGUAGCGGUGAAAUGCGUAGAUAUCAAGAGGAACACCUGAGGUGAAGACGGGUUGCUGGGCUGACACUGACGCUGAGGCGCGAAAGCGUGGGGAGCGAACAGG
rnacentral:rRNA from 1 species